rfam:TPA: Bos taurus chromosome 1, whole genome shotgun sequence.
UCCCUAGUGGUCCACUGGCUAUGACUCUGCGCUCCCAAUGCAGGGGGCCUGGGUUCGAUCCCUGGUUGGGCAA